CAGAACGRAACGCUGGCGGCAGGCCUAACACAUGCAAGUCGAACGGAUYCUUCGGGAUUAGUGGCAGACGGGUGAGUAACGCGUGGGAAGCUACCUUGUGGUAGGGAACAAACAGUUGGAAACGACUGCUAAUACCCUAUGAGCCCUAUGGGGGAAAGAUUUAUCGCCAUGAGAUGUGCCCGCGUUAGAUUAGCUAGUUGGUAAGGUAAUGGCUUACCAAGGCGACGAUCUAUAGCUGGUCUGAGAGGAUGAUCAGCCACACUGGGACUGAGACACGGCCCAGACUCCUACGGGAGGCAGCAGUGGGGAAUAUUGGACAAUGGGGGCAACCCUGAUCCAGCCAUGCCGCGUGAGUGAUGACGGCCUUAGGGUUGUAAAGCUCUUUCAGCAGUGAAGAUAAUGACAUUAACUGCAGAAGAAGCCCCGGCUAACUUCGUGCCAGCAGCCGCGGUAAUACGAAGGGGGCUAGCGUUGUUCGGAAUCACUGGGCGUAAAGCGUACGUAGGCGGACUGAUCAGUCAGGGGUGAAAUCCCGGGGCUCAACCCCGGAACUGCCUUUGAUACUGUCAGUCUUGAGAUCGAGAGAGGUGAGUGGAACUCCGAGUGUAGAGGUGAAAUUCGUAGAUAUUCGGAAGAACACCAGUGGCGAAGGCGGCUCACUGGCUCCGAUACUG
rnacentral:rRNA from 1 species